UUCCAGACUCCUACGGGAGGCAGCAGUGAGGAAUAUUGGUCAAUGGGCGGGAGCCUGAACCAGCCAAGUCGCGUGAGGGAAGACGGUCCUACGGAUUGUAAACCUCUUUUGCCGGGGAACAACGGGGUCCUUGCGAGGGCCCGAUGAGAGUACCCGGAGAAAAAGCAUCGGCUAACUCCGUGCCAGCAGCCGCGGUAAUACGGAGGAUGCGAGCGUUAUCCGGAUUCAUUGGGUUUAAAGGGUGCGUAGGUUGUUUUAUAAGUUAGCGGUGAAAUACCGAUGCUCAACAUCGGGGCUGCCGCUAAUACUGUAGGACUAGAGAUCGGAUGCAGCAGGCGGAAUGUGUAGUGUAGCGGUGAAAUGCAUAGAUAUUACACAGAACACCGAUUGCGAAGGCAGCUUGCUAGGCCGGAUCUGACACUGAUGCACGAAAGCGUGGGGAUCGAACAGGAUUAGAUACCCUGGUAGAC
rnacentral:rRNA from 1 species